UUCUGAUGUCAAUUUUUAGUCCUCAUCUGGGCUGUCCACACACUCUUUUGUUGUCAGUGACACUAUCAGAACAGAUACAUACUCAUUUUCCCAUUCUUUAGCAAGAUCCACAGACCUAUGUCAGUGGCAUUGUCACAGAAGCAUGGCUCCAAAGUGAAAACAGAACAGUGUUGUUUUGCUUGUUUGUUUGUUUUCAUUAUUCUUUUUUUUUUUUAAGACAGUAUGAAGUUAGUUGUCUUGGAAUAAGCCUUUGGUCCGUACUUAGACCAAAAGUUAAGAUUAGGAGAAGAAAACAGCUACUGAACAUAGAGCAAACUGUAAGCCCUUUCCAAAGGUGAUGGAAAGAAAAGUCUAAAAGAUAAAUCUUUCUUUGCUCCUGCUUCUGAAGCAAGAAAUAAAAUGGGAAUGAGUUCAACCUACUCCAGAUAGUAGAUGAUGCAUAACCACAUGUAUCCACAUUGUAGCAUCCCAGGGGUUGCCAAGACUCAGAGGAGAACACAACCGCUUCUGCAAUUUUCAGUACAGGCCUAGACCUCUGCAAGUCAGCUCUGCAAAGCCCAGUGUCCCUUUGAGAAUAAAUCUCAGGCACAAGGGUUAGAUACUAAAGAAUCUCUAAAAACGAUGAACAGACAUCAACAGAACUGGAAACUGUUCAAGGAAGUACUGAGUCUGUAAAGGUGCUUUAGUAAAUUUGGUCAACUUAAUUUCAGUGUCUGGUUAAAAACAAAAAAAAAAAAAAAAGGAAGGAAGGAAGGAAGGAAGGAAGGAAGGAAGGAAGGAAGGAAGGAAGGAAGGAAGGAAGGAAGGAAGGAAGGAAGGAAGGAAGGAAGGAAGGAAGGAAGGAAGGAAGGAAGAAGGAAAGAAAGAAAGAAGGAAAGAAAGGAAGAAGGAAAGAAAGAAAGAAGGAAAGAAAGAAAGAAGGAAAGAAAGAAAGAAAGAAAGAAAGAAAGAAAGAAAGAAAGAAAGAAAGAAAGAAAGAAAGAAAGAAAGAAAGAAAGAAAGAAAGAAAGAAAGAAAGAAAGAAAGGAAAAAAAAAAAGGAAAAAAAGAAAAAAAGAAAAAACAAAAGAAAUAUCAAAGAGAGCCAGGUUCCAACCUGGAACCAGGUUCCAACCAGGUUCCAACUGCUAGACUGUUUGUCCAGCUCCCCAUGUCUUCUAGCACAAGCAGCAUUGCAGUGUGAAGCUUCUGGUUCAUUUAUGCACAGGAAACCUCUUAUUCGGGUGCUACUGAAAUGAGAGCUGUUUCUGCAGGCAAAAGAGGAAGAAAGCUCUGUCACAUGCAGUGUCACACCAGUGAAGUCAUGCACUGGCAUAACAGCAAGUGUUGUCAGUUGUCAAAGGCCAUCUGUAGCCAGCAGACUUAAACUGUCAUCCUGCAAAAAGAUGCAAACAAGCCUAAUGGGAGAUUGCUUUAUCCUCUUUCUGGCAUUCAAUCAAAUGUUCCCUGAACAGACAUAGAAAACAAAGGAUCACUUUUUUUUUUUUUCCUAAAGAAAAACAUUAUUUUUGUGGCAGUUUAUAUAUUUUCAAAAUGACAGGAAAAAUAGGAAGAAUCAAAGAAAAUUCCAUAACCAAAGGGUCACUCGUCAGCUGUGGAUUGCAUGUAACUCUGUUGCUCCAGGGAGAAAGGGAUUGCUCCACUGCUUGCUCUGCAGAAUAGACUCACAGACUUUUGAAUCAUUUAUGCGUUUGCUAUAGUUCUGAAGAUAAGUUCAUUCAACACCAAAUCAAAGCCUGGAAGUAGCAGCAAGCUAACUAGCUGUGUACAGAAGCCCUGCAAAAACGCAUCCAUCCAUCUUGUUGACAGAAGGGGCUCACACACACAAACUGCUUCCGCAUGAGAAUGGGAAGACAGCACAUGUUGCUCUGUACAACAGCAUACAGGGACCAGAAAUUGAUGGCAUGCAGCUGUGGGGGCAAAAUCUCUUCUCAGCCUGCCCAUGGAGACUUGAAAGGCUGACAGAGGAAAACUUCAUUUAAGCAGUGAUAUCAAAGACAUGUGGGCAAAUAAAAUACAGCAGUGUCUCUGCAAAUAACACAUAAAAUUACCAAUUAUUAUGUAUGAAAAACUAGUCUAGAAAAAGAAACGUAGCUUCAACUCUUUCAUAAUAGUUCAUAUAUGCAGCAAUUACUGCCCCAACCAAUAGCAAAGUAGAAAUUAACACAGUGGCCAAUGGAUGUUUGCAGGAAAUAAGCUGUUAAAUUAUGCAAUUGCUUUGAGAGGAAGUAUAAGAGACAUGAAAUGCACAAAAUAAAUCUGUGGAAUUGUAAAGGCUUGCACAGCAUGGAACUAGCAUGUAACUACCAUGCAAGCAUGGACAAGGCACUGCAGAAAUCACAACACGGUUGUGCUGAGCCAGUAUAUAGCUUUUAAUCAUGUAUGUGAUUACAUGAUUAAAAGCUAAAUAAUAACCAUCUACAAGGGAAGGUAAACUAAAAUUAUGUUGGCAAAUUGGAGGCAAAUUUCCUUCUCUGCUCACUCAUGCACACCUUGUUUCUGAGUUUAUUUUGUUUAUUUCAUUGUUUGGGUAAUCUAGAAGAUAGGUGUGUUUUACCAAAGGUCAGGGUCGUCACUGUGUAUGGAAUAAUACCAUAGAACCACCAAGGUUGGAAAAGACCUCCAUGAUCAUCCAGCCCAACCACCCACCCACCGCCAGUACUUCCCACUAAGCCACAUCCCUCAGUACCACAUCUGAACAGUUCUUGAACACCUCCAGGGACACUGACACCACCACUUCCCUGCGCAGUCCACUCCAGCACUCACCACUCUUUCAGGGAAUAAUUUUUUCCUUUUUUUUUUAUUUUUAAAUUACAUAAUACCAUGCACCACUAUGCUCUUCUAGACACUCUGAAAGUAUUUGCUGCUCAAUGAAACUGUCCUGCAAACAUUUCUGCAAGGUGUGCACAGCGAGCUGCAACACUGUGCAUAGCAUCUGAGAUGUUUUACUGCUGAAGUUUUGCUUUAAUUCCUGGUCAGUGCUCACAGAUUACGCAUCUGCCUCUGACUUCUUUUGCUUGGGCUUUUUUUUUUUUUUUUUUUUUUUGAAUCAGCAGCAUGGCAUUUUAUAUAAUAAUUGUCGACAGAACGGUAAUGCUGGAUUUAUGCCAUAUAUUAAAUGUACAUAAAUAGUUAACACAUUACAUACUAUAAUACACUGAGGACACAUUUUAAGCUAUUUAUGCUCCAUAUACUACACAGGAAUUUGUCUGUAGGACUAAUGAAAGGUAUUCACACUACUCUGUUACAGUAAAGCUGUUAGCAUAAAUGGGACAAACUCCUCGUGUCACAGACAGCAAAAUGAUAAAAGGUUUAGUAGGCUCUUUGGCAGGAGACAGACGGAAUAGAUUCAGCUGCUAAAAAUCAAGAUGCUGACAUUUUGUCCUUAGUCACCAGUGUUAUCUUUCUCCAUAGAAACCAAGUGUAGAACAGUGCACAUUGUCCCUCUGUCCCUUUCUAGUCAGGCUGUGUUACAACAGCCCUACUUCACAAAGAGAAAUUUAGUUCCCAGGAUUGUCUCUAAUCUAUUGCUGUUAUUAAGACACUAAGCAACAUGCAAUAAUUACAUGCUCUGACUAUCUUCUAUCCCCAUCAUAAUAACAACUGAAAAUGGGUGUAAAGGAUAUAUACAUGCUAAGGACUCACUCUCUAUGGCAUUCCUAUUGAAUCCAACAAUAAUGUUCUCAAUCAGGCAGAGAAUGCUGCCCUAGAGAAUAAAUUGCCUGAAACUCAAACAUUGUAUUGUGAUAGGUUGGAACUACACAAGGGCUUGAACAUUGUUUUAUCAGUCACAGUUUUAUUUCCAGUCCUACUGACAUUUAAGGCACCUGGGAUACAUCAGUGAAGGAUGUCUGCAUAGAACUGGGGAGAUAACUGAACCAGAAGGAAAGAAAGGGGGGAAAAGGAACAAAAAGAAAGCUCUAAGUCAGGCAAAAGCCAUUGCAAAUACUGUGCUUAACCAAAUGUGAAAAAGGGCUGGGCUGCUUUUUUUUCCAGCUCCUUCACAAUUAGUAGGCCAGAGCACUAUUCCCAGAGUUCUCUGCUCCCUCAAGAGUGCUUAUUUAAUGCAUUUUUAGUCUCUCUGUAUGUUUCAUCUGAGUGCUGAGAGCAAGAGAAGCAAGGGAUAAGGCAGGAUAUUUUAUUCUCUCCAAUUUUUAUAAGGGUAAUAGAGAAUGUUUGAACAUACGUUGCGAAGCAUGACUAAGCAAGAAAACUCAUUCCUGACAUACCAUUCCAGUUAGACCCACCCAAGACAUUACUUGUAAUUAACUGGUCUUCUGCAAAGCUUUAUAAGGGCUUUGUUUUCUAUUCAUGUUUGUUUCACAGAAGUCACUGCACUGAAGCAAAGCCUCAUCUGGAACAAGGAAGGGAUUUUUUCCUUUGGCCAUGGCCAUUCCCACUGGAAUCCUGCAGUACUGCAGAGCCACUUCUCCCCACAACCAACCUCCAGACAGUUUCAGCUCUUACACAUAGCAAUCAGUGUUAUCAGUUGGAUGCAUCUCUUGCCGUUUUGCAGAUUAAUUUAGGAAGACAUGCUGUGCAGAGAUUCUUCAGAGAUGCAUGGAAGAAAUGUUCAGGAAAGAAGACGAUAGGACCCUGCUGGCUCUGCUCUCAGCAUUCGUGGGCGCCAUCUGGCGGUCCUUUAUUAAUUAUUGUAAUAUUUUAUGAUAUAUGCCCUGAUCAAAACGACUUGGUCUUGAUGGUGAAAAUGACUCUAAGCCUGAAGUUGUUCUGACCAGACUGUGGUCCACCUUCUCAGUAUGAGCUAAAAACAUACGUCAUGCCAAGAUCUGGACUCCCAGCCACGAAUCCGUACUACCCUGCAACUCAGAAGCACAUAGAUGUGACGUUUUACUAUAUGCCUACCCCUGGGCUAGACUUACCAUCCCUGUGCUGAUAAUGGAAGCACAUUUCUAGAAAGAACAAGCUGGUGGAUGUAUAGGUCUCUGUCAGCCAAAACCCAAUGGAAUAAAUACCUCUAAGAGUCAGAUAAUCCCAUUAGGCUCUAGAGAACUAAGGUAUAAUUCAUGUGUGAAAAACGGAAUGUAAAUUUACGGAUGGAUGAAUCAGGGGGAUUUCCAGAACCAUUUCUGAACAGGAAGACCACUUAGCUGGCCUUCUUCAAAAAGAAUUUCUGUCACAUGCAGGCCCUGGAAUGAGGAAGAAAUUUGGCUCUGAUGUUCUCUGCCGAUGACACAAAACUCAAUUUGGAAAUGCAAGCUAAUGAAAAAUACAAACACGUUCCCACAACCACAGCUAUGAAGACAAAUCAAGUAUACUCACUGAAUGGAAAUUAGAAGUAUUUUUAAUAGCUGGGUGUAGCAGCAGUAUGUGUACAGCUAUUGUGGGAUUAUAUCAUCCCAAAUAUGUUUUUACCAAAGGAUCAGCUCCAAGAAUAACUAAAACCAGCACUGCAUGCAUCUCAGGGUAAAGAGGGUUUAGGUAUGUGCAACUAAUAAGAGAUGUAUAAAUCCUUAUGCACAAAAAUACUUAUGCCCAUACUUGGUGCUGAAGGAUAAUUCUGAAUAUAACCUCUCUAUUCAGACAUUUCACAAGCAGCUGUCAGAUCCUGAUUGCACUGCAGAUUCCAGCCUGGAAUGCAACUUCUUGGAUUCGAAUUCACACGACAUUACUUCUCUCUGAGCCUAAUGUAAGAUACGGACCUACUGCAAAUGCAGGGAAAGCAGUGCUUUCAUAAAAGCUGUGCUUUCAUAGCAACGCAAUGGUUGUGCUGUGCAUGAUGCAGCACUGUGGUUCUGCAUCACCCACGCUCACACAGCCAAGACUCUCAGCAUAUCACCAGUCACCUUUCUGGUCUUCUGCCCAUCUCAGUUACAAAUAUCUCAGAAGACAAAAGUACAAUAUCCCAUGGACAACACUAUUCACUCUGUUAAGAAAUAUCUCCACAUAAUCAGUGUCAUUUAUUUUUCUGCUGACACUUCAAUACUGAUAUGACUGUAAAUAAUUCCACUUGUUCUUUGGGUAUCCAUACCUCAUUUUACUAAAAAACACAUAGAAGAAGGAAAUAUAUUUAAAAAAAACUCACAACAACAACAACCAGGACUCCCUUCUUCUAGAUAUUUGCCACACCAUUCUUUGAAAGCACCAACAGUAACUCCGACUGAAACACGCAAAAGCUAUUACAUCCAUCACUCGAUGGGCCACUGGGAGGCAGUCUUUUCAACCUGAAAAAUAAAGAUAGUUUGUCUUCUGACACUCCUUUGAUAUAGUGGUUGCUUUCCCACUGUUUAUCCAGAAACACCUAUUUCUAUUUAUUUUUAUUUUUCCCAGCUCAACAUUUUUCUGCACAUCCUUAUAUUUCUUUAUCUUCUACCAUUCCUAAGUAUCUCAUCUUUGUCGUCGUUCUGUUGCAUACAUGUUUAGAAAUACUAUUAAACUCCACCCUUAUAUCUCCUCCUUUCUUGCUGCCAUCUAAGCCUGUUCUUUCAGCUUUUCCUUCUCUGCAGUUUUUUUCUCCUUAUGUACAAUAUUCUCCUUCUUUGCUGUUCCUUUCCACGAGCCACACAUUCUUUCACUGUCUAAAGAGGUAACAAAACAAAAGCAACUAUUUAUGUGCCCUACUAUGUGAAAAGUGCAUUCUUAUGGAGUAAUCUCUCACUGACAGUAAGAACAGGCAGCUUCUUCUCAAAUAUGAAACCCUGGAUGCUUUACCAUAAGACACAAAACCCCAAGUAACUGUCUCCCUCUUACCAGCUCUCACCUCCUGUUCUUCCCCUAACACUCUCACAUUAAAGCUUUCCCAAAACUACUAUGAAAACAAGAAGGUUGACCCACAAUACCAUCCACUGAAAACAAAAAGAGCAAUCCAGGCAUCAAUGGGAACUCUGACCACAAUGCAACUUGAAAAAAUAAAACACUUCUUUUGCAUGUGGACUGUGUUAGACAAAGUACAGCUUUGUGAUGUGCGUGUGUUUGCAAACCAGCUAAUGGAGAAGCAGUAAGAUAUGCAUGAAGUAAAAUCUGCAUCCUUUAUUAGAUGUGAUCAGCUUGGCUGAUUGGCAUCAAUUCAUUGGAAAUCAGAAUUGCAAAGACAGAAUGCAGUGAAGCCUACCUUGUGUUCAUGUUUGGUUAGCAAUGAAAUAAAAAUAAUAAUUAAAAAUGGUGGUGAUGAAGAG
ensembl:lncRNA